AAGGUGGCCUAUGCCACAGCCAUGGACUGGUUCAUUGCCGUCUGUUACGCCUUU
rfam:Danio rerio chromosome 21, GRCz11 reference primary assembly.